GGGAAACUGAGAAUAACACUCCAUAAGUCUAGGAUGCUGGAAUGCACUUAGGCUAAAAACUUCGGUGCCUAAGGAUGAGUCUGUGGACUAUCAGGUUGUAGUCAGGGUAAUGACCUGACUAGCCUAUGACGGAUACGGGUUGUGAGAGCAAUAACCCGGAGAUGAUAUCUGAGACACGAUAUCAGGCCCUACGGGGCGCAGCAGGCGCGAAAACUUCGCAAUGUGCGAAAGCACGACGAGGGAAUCCCAAGUGCUGGCUCGUUAGAGUCAGCUGUUUUUAUGUCUAAAAAGCAUAGAGAGUAAGUGCUGGGUAAGACGGGUGCCAGCCGCCGCGGUAAUACCUGCAGCACGAGUGGUGGCCACUAUUAUUGGGCCUAAAACGUCCGUAGCCUGUUUAUUAAAUGCCUAGGUAAAUUGUGUGGCUUAACCAUACGAAUUCUGGGUAGACUGAUAAACUUGAGACCGGGAGAAGCUAGAGGUACUCCUGGGGUAGAGGUGAAAUUCUGUAAUCCUAGGGGGACCACCAGUGGCGAAGGCGUCUAGCUAGAACGGGUUUGACGGUGAGGGACGAAGCCCCGGGGCGCAAACGGGAUUAGAUACCCCGGUAGUCCAGGGUGUAAACGCUGCUUGCUUGAUGUUGGUUUGGGCUCCGAGCCCAAUCAGUGUCGGAGAGAAGUUGUUAAGCAAGCUGCCUGGGAAGUACGAUCGCAAGACUGAAACUUAA
rnacentral:rRNA from 1 species